UACAUUCCAGGUUCUCUACUCAAUCUAUCAAAGCUCUCUACUUUAGAUCUUUCCAGUAAUCACUUCUCUGGAUACUUUCCUUGUUCUCUACUCACCAUGCCUUUCCUUUCAAGUCUUCAUUUGAGCCAAAACCAUCUCAUCGACUCUCUUGAAACUAUGAAUUGCUCUUCAUCAUCUAAGCUUGAAGAUUUACACCUUAGCUAUAACCGUCUCAGUGGUCGAAUCCUAGAACCUCUCUCAAAAUUAACCAACCUCAAGGAACUCGACCUAUCUUUUCAAAACACAACCGACCCAAUCAACUUCGUCUCCUCCUUGGGCUUCAAGUCUUUAGAGUUACUGCAUCUUUCCGGAAAUGCUGUAUCACAGCUUAGUAUCGGAUCACCAAAUUUGAGGAGUCUAUACCUCACAAACAUUUAUAUAGUGAAUUGUUGAGUGGACUACGGUCCCCGCUGAGCCUGCCCUGACUUUUCAUUAGAGGAGAUCAAAAAGCAUAAAACUUUUAAAUUUGGAAUUAUUACCAGAGAGAAGGAGAUUUAUCGUUGAACUGAGAGAGGGUAACGAAGUCUGUGAGCUUCCUCUUCGCUACAACCUGUUCGCUGCUUGUGAGCUUUCACGCAAGGAAGACCACAGGAACGGAUCGAACAUCCUGGACAUUUCCUCGUGAAGGUUGGGAUUUAUGGGCUAUUUAGUUGUUAUUAAAAGUUUAUGGGUUCUUUAGAGAUUACUAAGGGUUUAGGACUUAUUUACAAAUAUACAAAUGAUUACUGCACACAAGGAAGGCGCGAAACGAUCGAAUUAGCCCAAAAUGCGUGAACCUCCGAGUGAGCAAGAGGGUUAGGGAAUAUUAACAGUACUUCCGACUCUAGUCACAGCAUUCGACACCUGCAAAAAAUGUCAGAAGACCGCAGUCUCAACCACCUCCCGCCUUCGUCUUACAGGGCCCUAGCUCUAGCUCUGUUUCAGCAUACGUGCAAUGUGAUGAUCAGUGCCUAUACUGCAAACAGGGGGAAGGUAUAGAACCCUUAAGAACUUGGGUAAAUGCUUUAUAACCGAUGCUUUCGCAGCAGAGUUGGGGUCAUAAUCAUUCAAUAUUCAGAGUAACGAUGGAAUGCUACUAUCAAGGAGAAACCAAAAUUCAAGGAGCUAUUCGAGAAUUUUGGGAACCAACAAAUCUUAAAUUCUGCAAAUGGAAUCUUCCUAGUAGUACUUGCAUAGUUAGUCGCGGUUCUCUACUAGUUCUAUCAGACUUAGUCCAAAGAUGUAUACUUCUGUCAAACAAUCCACGUCCAAAGAUAGCUUCUUUGAAACUUAAAACCAAGAGAUCAAAGUUGCUUGACUUAGUGAUGCAAAAGACUCUGGUUUUGAAUAGUAGUCGGUUGCUAGAUUUGUACGUAUAUGUUGACCACUGACUUCUACACACAAUUAAAUGGUCCGUGUUUUGCCCCUUAUUAAGCGCUACCUAUCUUGUUCGGAAUAUAGAUUGUGAGCCACACAUUGGAAAUUUCCACAAUUGAAGAGUCAAGGCAACGUGACUUUAACUCUUAUCAUCGUUAUGCUUUAUGCUCUCUAUAUAUUUUGUUAAAAGUUGUUCUGGCUGCAAAACCAGAUCAUACAUACCCAAGUUUCUUUCUUCAAUAUCUUUUUAUUUGUUUCCAAGUCUUUAUUUUCGAAAUGGUGAAACCGUGUUUCCAUGUUUCUUCCAUCUCCUCUUUCUUAUCUUGUCUCUUUGUCUCCAGCUUCCUUGUCAACACUCUUGUUUCUCUACCUUUUCCUCGUUCUGACCAGAUUGAGAUCCUUCUGGCGUUUAAGAACGAGUUUCCAAUCCUCAAAUGCGACUUCAAUAAGUGGCCUGACUCAGAAACAAAGACAAAAUCUUGGACCAGCAAAAACGUUAAGUCCUUUGAUGGGGUUGGAUUUGAUAACGAGACUGGUGUAGUGACGAAACUAGACCUAGGUGGUGCAUGUCUCAGUGGCAGUCUCAGUGCUAAUAGUAGCCUUUUCAGAUUACACCACCUCAGGUACCUCGAUCUCUCUUACAACUACGUUGACUCGUCCUCAUUCCUCCCUGAACUUGGCAAACUCACAAACUUAGAGUCACUGGAUCUUUCUCAUAUGGGAUUAGCCGGCGAAAUCCCAUCCUCAAUCAGUAGCCUAAACCGUCUAACAAACCUGUAUCUUUACGGUAACGAGCUUAUUGGCAGUUUUUCCCCUCUACUCAAUCUAUCAAAGCUCUCUUCUUUAUAUCUUUCCUAUAAUCUCUUUUCUGGAUACAUUCCAGGUUCUCUACUCAAUCUAUCAAAGCUCUCUACUUUAGAUCUUUCCAGUAAUCAAUUCUCUGGAUACUUUCCUUGUUCUCUACUCAAUCUAUCAAAGCUCUCUUCUUUAUAUCUUUCCUAUAAUCUCUUUUCUGGAUACAUUCCAGGUUCUCUACUCAAUCUAUCAAAGCUCUCUACUUUAGAUCUUUCCAGUAAUCACUUCUCUGGAUACUUUCCUUGUUCUCUACUCACCAUGCCUUUCCUUUCAAGUCUUCAUUUGAGCCAAAACCAUCUCAUCGACUCUCUUGAAACUAUGAAUUGCUCUUCAUCAUCUAAGCUUGAAGAUUUACACCUUAGCUAUAACCGUCUCAGUGGUCGAAUCCUAGAACCUCUCUCAAAAUUAACCAACCUCAAGGAACUCGACCUAUCUUUUCAAAACACAACCGACCCAAUCAACUUCGUCUCCUCCUUGGGCUUCAAGUCUUUAGAGUUACUGCAU
rnacentral:lncRNA from 1 species